CAGAAAAAGCAGGCUCCUCGUUUUGUUUUCCGCUGACUGCACUGAACUGGCAAAAUAGCCUUAAUUGACAAAAUGACAGGAUAGAAUAAAAUGUUGGAAGGGAAGAACUGACACAGGCAUUCCUGGACUUUUUAACAGUUCAACCACAAUGACCUGUUCAAAUGAAUGCGCUACUUCCAUGAGAGAAAGUAAAUUUUAUUUCUCUCAGAACUUGUAUGUGGAACAAAGUGGCCAAUCACUGCUUACUGCCAUGAGUCUUACUGACCGCAUUUUACAGUGGACUGAAGACUAAUCUGAAAUCCGUCCUUCCUUCUCCAAGGUAAUCAGGAGCAGAGAAAGGCCAUCUGGACCUCCUGUAACAGCCACUGAGCUGGAGCUGGCAGUAACCUCGUCUGCAAUAGCUUCAGGGAUGGAUUUAAAAGAGGACCGAUUCUAGAGGUCUCCUUUAAAGAGUCCUAAGGGGGUAUCGAACAACCAGAUGAGAAUUGCAAGGUACCAGAGUUCACUCUGAAUUGACUAAAUGUCUGCACAAAAACAACACCUUGAAGUCAAGUGGAGGGAGAGCAAAAAGAACCUUACUCUGAGUUGCCUGGUCACUGCUGAGAUGUGAUAACUGACUGUACAGGGCCCAAGUCUGCCACCAGUACCAUCGCCGUGCAAAACCAUGUCAUCUUGCUUUCCCAGCCUGUGAAAUGAGGGUGCCUGGAAAUGGAGAGGAGAACACAGAAAACAAGAAAAGCAGCAUGUUGUCAGAUUCUACUUUUUAAGUUAUCCAGAGAACAGUUGUUGCUGAGUAAGAACUGGAUGCAUCUGCUGCUCCUGCAUCAGGACUGCUGACAUGAACAUGUAGGAGGAAGAUCAAGCUGCAGCAAGGACGGACUUCAGGAGCUGGUUCGUUCUUCUUUCACACGGAUGGGAGUGUCACAGCGUGCUUUCCUGUCUAAUCAGUCUCAACACAACCUUACACAACUCAGCCUGCUUUAAGCUUUUAACCAGGGUGUAGGAGUUCAGAAAAAAAAAACCACCUCCCUUCCCCCAAGAAAAAUGUAAUUGCAAAGAUUUGUUUUGACGUAGCAUGUACAGUAAACUUGAAUCACCAAAAGUGAA